rnacentral:rRNA from 1 species
AUGCAGAAAGGAAGUCUUCACGAUCCAUUAUUCCCCAUCUCGGACCUGGAAUCAUACCAGCCGAUGGUUGGUGGUUUAUCGCUCGUUCAGCUGAUGGUGUACCAUAUAACUGGAAUUAACUCAUGCAAGUCGAAGAAGGAUUGGCCGGUGCUACCGGCUGGAGUCAAGUUCGAUCCCACGGGUCAGGAGCUUAUCGAGCACCUUGAGGCCAAAGUGAGUGCUGACAGCGUGAGAUCUCACCCUCUCAUCGAGUUGUUCAUACCAACCAUCGACAGCGAGCAUGACAUAUGCUACACCCAUCCUGAGAAACUUCAAGGUAUCACACUGAGUGGCCUAAGCAAGCAUUUCUUCCAGCGCAAUUCCAGGGCAUUCAAAAGGGGCACGUGGACACGUCGCCAGAUACAGUCAGAGUGCGGCAUGCACGCGAUGUGGCACAACACCGACAAUACCUUGCUGGUGAUGGUCAACGGCCGGCAAACGGGCAGCAAAAAGGUUCUCGUGCUGCACACCAACAAGAACUUCGACCAGUAG